rnacentral:rRNA from 1 species
UACGAAGGGGGCUAGCGUUGCUCGGAAUCACUGGGCGUAAAGCGCACGUAGGCGGAUUGCUAAGUCAGGGGUGAAAUCCUGGAGCUCAACUCCAGAACUGCCUUUGAUACUGGCGAUCUCGAGUUCGGGAGAGGUGAGUGGAACUGCGAGUGUAGAGGUGAAAUUCGUAGAUAUUGGGAAGAACACCGGUGGCGAAGGCGGCUCUCUGGACCGAGACUGACGCUGAGGCGCGAAAGCGUGGGGAGCAAACAGG